GCGCCUGUCCCUAGAAAAAUACACAACACUACACAUCCAUCCCAGAUUCCAGUCCGAUCCAGUCAAAGCGAGCGAGCUAGCUACUCCAGCUGCUGGCCGGCCGUCGAAAGAGACCGGAUCACUUUGCCGGAUGAGCAGCGGUGGGAUCGAUCGUGGAUUGUGCGCGCCUCCGUCCGUCCUGCCGACCGGCGCGGCGGCCGCGAGCUUAGAUUUUGGCUGUGCUCCUGCUGGUAGUGUUGAGCUAACAAUUAGGUGGAGAAAUGUUCUACAUGAUUGAUCAAGAUCAAAGCAAAGAAUCGUUCCAUAUUUCUACAUCAACUGAGAGUUGAAGGUGACGAAGGUAUAGAGUAGCAAGUUUGAUAGCUAAAACAAAUGAGGCCAGGAAUGAAGAGCAUAGGCUCCAGCCACAGAGGGAAAAGAAAGGUUGAGGAGUGCUUUGCGCAGAUUGGGGGGACUCUCUUUUUCUAAAUGAUUUAGUUGAUGACCAAAUGUUUUUUUUCUCAGAUUACUAUAUUUGUUUUUUAAUUUUUAAGGCGUGACAUAUCACAGGUUAUGAUUUUUCAAUAAGUAGAUUUAAUGGCUGAAAAAAAAUUUAAGUGAAAACCGAUGAUAAGAUGUUUUGUGCUUUCCUUUUAA